AUCAUUUCUCGCUAAUGCUAAAGUGAAAUGGCCUAACUCCCUGGCUGGUUACCAGGCAAACCAUCAGCCAGGUUACUCACCAAUUUCAUAACGGAUGAAACCUUAUAUAUAUAUAUAUAUAUAUAACAUAUAUAACAAGAAGGUAAGUGUGGUGUAACGAAUUGUGUAACACCGGUGCUUCUCAUGUAAGUCUGUUGGUUCUUUGUUUGCACAGCAAAUUGGAGUUGGCUAUGUGGCCUUCAGCUUAGCCACACACACGACAGUAGAAACAAUGGGCUGUCUUCAAAGUGUGUUCCUUCCAUCCUGAUCCUGCCGAUCGCCCAACCAACCAAAGCCCACCAUCUAGCCUCUCAUAAGUUUCUUGUGUACUGAGAAGAAAGCGGUGCUCUUUGUUUGCUUGUUCAGCUGAUCUCACCGUUGGUUGCCUUCACAUUUGUUUGCACUGGUGUGAAUUUCAAUGGCUUCUACAAGUUUCCUCUGUUCGGUGUACCUCGAUUUUAUAAUCUUGGAGCACCUCUUUGUAGAAGAGUUGGUUAGGCAACAUUUAAAGUUCGCACCACCAUCUUCUUGCUCUACCUGUUGGCGAUAUUCCUGCUCAUUGUUUGUCUUCUAUUGAGAUGUUCAUGCCUGAUUGUAUGUGUUUUUGAGCUUGUUAAUGUGUGGAGAAAUUAUGCAUACCAAUUGUUUGGCAAUAUGCCUGACUAAAAUAACCCAUAAAUUCUCUUCAUGGCAAAGCCUCUUCCUAAGAUUGCAACCAAAUUUCAAGGAAAAACCCUGGCUUAUUUCUUACAAUUUAGUUUGUUUCAAUUAAUUUUUCAAAAUCAUUUGUUCUUGGGUAGAUAGAGUUUGUAAUGUGUUUUGAUAUUUGAUUUCUCUACAGAUAAAAAAUGAUCGAGAAGCGCCUCGCAAGUGGCCAAGUCAAAGAGCUCAUCGAAGAGGCCUAGGACAAGCUCAAACUCAUCGCUAAGAUGUUCUGUAUGUAUAUUUCAAUACUCUCUGUCUUCAUUUGCUUUCUCUUUGCUUUUGAAUACAUUGGUAUCAUUACAAGCAGAACCAAUAUCGAAUAUUGAGCUUCAAAUUUUAUGCAAGUGUUCAAGAGAACAGGAUUUGAAUCCUCUAAUUGUAGAUUAGGUUGUUCUUUGUGUAAAAGGGAAAAGCAAUUUUAAAGUUUUGUAAAAAAAAGUUCUUUUGAAGAUUUUUUAUUGGUUUCAAUUUUGACAGUUAAAUAUAUCUAACUAGCUAUGUAUAAAAAAUUCAAUUCUAAAAUUAUUUGAUUCUAACCAAACACGCUCUUGAUUUUUCAUUGCAUAGAACUUGAAUAAAACAAAAUUGAAUAUUUUCUUAUUUUCUUUUAAUGAUAUUUGCUUCUUGUUUAGUGAUAUUUCUCAGGAAAUGUAAAUUUUUAUUGUAUAUUUAUGCUUAUACUCAUUUAGUUUAUCAUUCUCAAUUAUGCAUUUGUUUCUUGACGAUCAUUUUCUUUAUUUCUUUGUUAAUCUGUUUGUUGUCUUUCUGAUGAGAAUUGACAUUUUAAGGCCAAAAACAGUUCUGGUUUAUAAGAGUCAAACAAGUGGGUUCAGGUAAGUGUUCAUUGACUCUAAUCUCUCUUUGAUUCUGUGUUUCUCCCUCUCUGUUUUGGUAUCCGAGCUCAAUCAAUUCAUUUGAAUUGGGAAUUGGUGUGUUAUGUUUUGUUAGAUCUUUGAUUUGGGUUUUUUUAGUUUUAUAUCAAUGUUUAGCUUGAUUUUGAUAUGGGUUAUUUGCUUUUGUACUAAAUGAUUGAUUUAAUGUUUCUAUGAACUCAUAACUUCAUUUAUUAUGACCUAAGAACAUUUUUGGUAAUAUUUGGUAAAAUUAAGGACUUUCUGAGUUGAUAACAUAGUGUGUGUCAAACCCAGGUACAAUUAACAGCAACACCAGGAUUUGGUAUUGAUGGUUAUUUGAGAUUCAGCUCAUAACUUACUCUUUCUUUGCUCUCACUUCCAUUCAGUUGUGUGCUUUUCCUUUUAAUUAUUAUUUUUUUACAAAUCCUAUGAAAAUGGUAUGUUUGCAACAUAGGUCCUAUCAAUUCAAUGUUUUGGAUGGUAAUUUUUCCUUACUUUUGUGUUGGAUUGUAUUUCACCAACAAGAAGGAAAAAAGGGCAAAAAACCCACCACGGUCUAUUCCAUGGUAAAGACAAAUAUUUUAGGUAUAUAUCGAUUCUUUUUAUUCCAUGCACUAGGUACAUAAUGAAAAUUCUGUGGGAUUUAUUCCUUUGUUGUCAUUUGAACUUUUUGGAACAAAAGAAAUGAUGCAAUUUUUAAUGUUUAAUGUAUCUGUCUACAUGUUGAUGCCCACAUUCUUAAGUUUCUUCUCUCCAACAAUAAUAACUAUGCUAUUGAAAUGGAGAUUUGAAAGUGUGUAUAGUGAAUAAUCAAACAUAUCAUGCGGGUUUGAUGGACCUGAUUAGCAACCAUUUGUAAUUUAUUAUUAAAAAGAAUGAUUGAUGUGAGAUGGUAUGCUUGAUGCCUUGUGUGAUAUGGUUGUGCUUGCUGGCCACUAGCUGAGUUCAUGCCAUGUUCUUAUGUUGUUAUACUUUAGGUUAAAAAACCUUUCCUCCAGGUUUCAUGCCCUUUGAGUUUGAGGUCUGGUAAUUGUAAGGCAAUAGAAAUGUGUACCUAGCAUAUAAGGCCUAUGUCGAUGUACAUAUUGUACAGAUUGAGCUCGAUUUCUUUGACACUGCCAGUUCGUCAACUGCAUCUCUGGUUUCUUGCUCUAACCCAAUAUGUGCUUCUGUAGUUCAAGUUACAGCUGUUGAAUGCUCUUCACAGAGUAAUCAGUGUGAUGAUUCACUUCAGUAUGGAGAUGGAAGCGGGACAUCUGGUUAUUAUUUAACUGAUUUGUUGUAUUUAAAAUUUUUACACAAAUAUGGGGGCUUCUUUAGUCGCUAACUCUUCUGCUCCAACUAUUUUUGGGUAAGUAGUUAAUGUUAUACUGUUGGAAUUAUGGUUCUUAUUUAUAGUGAUAAUUAUAUGUCUCGUGAUCAAAGAUAUUUGAGAUUUGUUGCUUAUAUGAGUUUUUCAUCUGAGCUAUUCAUUUUCAAAUUAUGUCCACACUGUUCACAAAUAUUCAUUCUAAUGAUGGUGUAUUUUCUUGUGGGAUUAAAAAUGAUCAAUAGAUGAAGAGAGUAGAUGGUCAGGAGAGUCACAACAGAAGCCCAAGUAUGUUAAUACAUUCAUGGAAACACAUAGUUACCAUUAUUUGCUUAACUAUACCAUUUCUUCAUGUACAAAAAAACUCUAAGCAAAUGUGGCAGUGGCUAACUAAUCCAACCUGACUAAACCAAUCAUGUACUUGGAUGGCAUUAAGUAAAAAAAAACAUGUUCUAUGAACCCUCCCCCCCACACACACACAAAAUAAAUAAAUAAAUAAAUAAAAUAAAAGUGGUGUUCAUUAUCUUCAGUUUUUCUACAUUGUUAUGGUUACUGGUGAAAAGAAGGAUAAGGCUUCUAGAACUGAAUGGCGAUCAAUGAUUACUGGGAAAAGAAGAAUGAAAUGAUGAAAAGGUUAACUAAAAGAUGGUUAUUAAGGUAAUGGGGCUUAGCAGAAUGUAUCUUAUAGCUACAAUUGCUCUUCAAUAUAUUAGGAGUUGUAUGUUAGUUUAAACUUUCAGCUUUCUAUUCUAUUGUGGUUGCUGUAUGUAUGUAUUCACAUGUUAAUGUUCGUUUUUAGUUUUAUGGGUUUGCAACUUAAGUAUAUUGGAUGGGUGUUUUGGAAACAGGUGUAGCACCUGUCAAUCUGGGGACUUAACCAAGACAGAUAGAGUAAUUGAUGGGAUUAUUGGGUUUGGUCAACAGGAUCUGUCUAUCACAUCACAACUGGCAUCACGAGGGAUUACUCCUAAGGUGUUCUCCCUUGAUAUUUGUGAUUUGAACCAUUUAUUUAAAUCAUACCCACCGAGGAGGCUUUUGUUCUAUUGUUCAGUGUUUUGUUUUGCAGCUAAGACUAAACAAAUAGUGGACUUAGUGGACUAUAGAACAUGGUUAUGUUGUCUCUUGUUCAUGAGUAAAGAAAGAUUAUAUGUAAUGCUCGAACUUUGGAAGGCGUGGUAGCGUUGGUGCUAGAGAGAAGGAAAAGAGAGAUGACAAAAAACAAUUCUUCCAACUAGUUAGCAAACGUAGUUUCAAUUUAAGAUAACAAUGGGCCCUUUUGUUUGCUGGUUUAUAAUUUUAUGAAAUGUAAGAAGCAAUUAUGAUUAAUAGGAUAUAAAAUAAGAAAUAUUGUGUAUUUUAUGUCA